CCUACGGGAGGCAGCAGUGAGGAAUAUUGGUCAAUGGACGAGAGUCUGAACCAGCCAAGUAGCGUGAAGGAUGACUGCCCUAUGGGUUGUAAACUUCUUUUAUAUGGGAAUAAAAUGUUCCACGUGUGGGAUUUUGUAUGUACCAUAUGAAUAAGGAUCGGCUAACUCCGUGCCAGCAGCCGCGGUAAUACGGAGGAUCCGAGCGUUAUCCGGAUUUAUUGGGUUUAAAGGGAGCGUAGGUGGAUUGUUAAGUCAGUUGUGAAAGUUUGCGGCUCAACCGUAAAAUUGCAGUUGAAACUGGCAGUCUUGAGUACAGUAGAGGUGUGCGGAAUUCGUGGUGUAGCGGUGAAAUGCUUAGAUAUCACGAAGAACUCCGAUUGCGAAGGCAGUUCACUGGACUGCAACUGACACUGAGGCUCGAAAGUGUGGGUAUCAAACAGGAGUAGAUACCCGGGUAGUC
rnacentral:rRNA from 1 species